AGAGUUUGAUCAUGGCUCAGAUUGAACGCUGGCGGUAUGCUUAACACAUGCAAGUCGAACGGUAACAGGCCUUCGGGCGCUGACGAGUGGCGGACGGGCGAGUAACGCGUAGGAAUCUGCCUCAUAGUGGGGGACAACGUGGGGAAACCCACGCUAAUACCGCAUACGCCCUACGGGGGAAAGCGGGGGCUCUUCGGACCUCGCGCUAUGAGAUGAGCCUGCGUUAGAUUAGCUAGUUGGUAGGGUAAAGGCCUACCAAGGCGACGAUCUAUAGCUGGUCUGAGAGGACGAUCAGCCACACUGGGACUGAGACACGGCCCAGACUCCUACGGGAGGCAGCAGUGGGGAAUAUUGGUCAAUGGGCGCAAGCCUGAUCCAGCAAUACCGCGUGUGUGAAGAAGG
rnacentral:rRNA from 1 species